GGGCCACUUUCCAUCAUCUAUCAACGGUCAUAGUCAUCUGGGAAGGUCCCAGAUGACUGGAGACUUGCUAAUGUGACACCCAUCUAUAAGAAGGGUUGUAAGGAGGACCCAGGGAACUAUAGGCCUGUCAGCCAGACCUCAGUGCCAGCAAAAGUGGUGAAACAGGUCAUCUUGAAUGCAAUCACACGGCAUAUGCAGGACAACUGGGGUCCAAUCAUCAUGGGUUCAUGAAAGGCAAGUCCUGCCCGACCAGCCUCAUCUCCUUCUACAACUGGGUGACCCACCUGGUCACAAACGUCUGCUUCACUGGACACAGACUGAGAGACAUCUCUGCCUUAAGUCCUUGCAAGGGGAAAGUAAACUGAUGACCAGCCCUGAGUUGAUGGACUUGACUGAUUCAGAAGAGAACAGAGAAAGAGAGAGAGAGAGAAAGAAAGAAAGGAAAAAAGGAAGAAGGAAGAAAGCAAGAAAGGGAAAGAAAGGUAGAAAGAAAGAGGGAAGGAAAAACUAACACCAAAAAUAAACAAACAAAAAAAUGCAGAUAUUGAUCAUAGCGUGCAAAAGCCACACAAGUAUUCAUUUUAGUAUUCCAGCCCGUAAUCAUGUAAAUUGUAGCUGAAUUAAUUAAAACACAACUAAAGUACAGAAUAAAAGCACUAUUGGAAAUUAAAAAAAUAAUAAUAGUAAAAAAAAAAAACAUCAUAAUAAUAAAAGAUAAAAUCUACAGCUACUUGUAUAUCAGCUAUUCAAUUGAAUGCCCAUCUAUCAAGUUAGCACCAAAAAAAAAAAAA